rnacentral:rRNA from 1 species
GGGCCCGCACAAGCGGUGGAGCAUGUGGUUUAAUUCGAUGAUACGCGAAGAACCUUACCUGGGCUUGAACUGUGCCUGACAGGUGUAGAGAUACAUCCUUCUUCGGACAGGUACAGAGGUGCUGCAUGGUUGUCGUCAGCUCGUGUCGUGAGAUGUUGGGUUAAGUCCCGCAACGAGCGCAACCCUUACUCCCUGUUGCCAUCAGGUAAUGCUGAGCACUCUGGGGGAACUGCCGGUGACAAACCGGAGGAAGGUGGGGAUGACGUCAAAUCAUCACGGCCCUUAUGUCCAGGGACUACACACGUGCUACAAUGGCCGGUACAAAGAGAAGCGAGACCGCGAGGUGGAGCAAAUCUCAAAAAACCGGUCUCAGUUCGGAUUGGAGUCUGCAACUCGACUCUAUGAAGCUGGAAUCGCUAGUAAUCGUGGAUCAGCACGCCA